AAUAUUGGACAAUGGGCGAAAGCCUGAUCCAGCCAUGCCGCGCGUGUGAAGAAGGUCUUCGGAUUGUAAAGCACUUCAAGUUGGGAUGAAGGGCUUUAGGUUAAUACCCUGAAGUUUUGACGUUACCAACAGAAUAAGCACCGGCUAUCCCUGUGCCAGCAGCCGCGGUAAUACGGAGGGUGCAAGCGUUAAUCGGAAUUACUGGGCGUAAAGCGCGCGUAGGUGGUUCAGUAAGAUGGGUGUGAAAUCCCCGGGCUUAACCUGGGAACUGCUUUCAUAACUACUGGGCUAGAGUACGGUAGAGGGUAGUGGAAUUUCCUGUGUAGCGGUGAAAUGCGUAGAUAUAGGAAGGAACACCAGUGGCGAAGGCGACUACCUGGACUGUUACUGACACUGAGGUGCGAAAGCGUGGGGAGCAAAC
rnacentral:rRNA from 1 species